CCCUAUGGGGUGCAGCAGGCGCGAAAACUUCACACUGCAGGAAACUGUGAUGAGGGAACUCCAAGUGACUGCACAAUGUGUAGCCUUUUCUUGAAUCUUAAUAGUUCUUGGAAUAAGGGCUGGGAAAGACCGGUGCCAGCCGCCGCGGUAAUACCGGCAGCUCAAGUGGUCGUCGCUUUUAUUGGGCCUAAAACGUCCGUAGCCUGUUUGGUAAAUCUGUGGGUAAAUCAACGAGCUUAACUCGUUGAAUUCUGCAGAGACUGCCAGACUAGGGACCGGGAGAGGUAUGAGGUACUCUGGGGGUAGGGGUAAAAUCCUGUCAUCCUCAGAGGACCACCUGUUGCGAAGGCGUCAUACUGGAACGGAUCCGACGGUCAGGGACGAAGCCUAGGGGCACGAACCGGAUUAGAUACCCGGGUAGUCCUAGGUGUAAACGCUGUGGAUUUGGUGUGUGGGGUCCGCAAUGGGCCCCAUGUGCCGGAGUGAAGAUGUUAAAUCCACUGCCUGGGGAGUACGGUCGCAAGGCUGAAACUUAAAGGAAUUGGCGGGGGAGCACUGCAACGGGAGGAGCGUGCGGUUUAAUUGGAUUCAACGCCGGAAAACUCACCAAGGCCGACUGUUAGAUGAAGAUCAGCGUAACGAGCUUAUCGGAUUAUCAGAGAGGUGGUGCAUGGCC
rnacentral:rRNA from 1 species